CGUUGCCAGACCGUACCAAAAAGUACGGUUUUCCGUACUAUUCAUCACACAACCGUACCACAACCGUACCUCAGUGUAGACCGUACCUUUUUCGUACCUUUUCUAUAUUAGUGAUUUAUUUUUUACUGCAAACUACAAAGGGAGCGAUGAAUUAAAAAAAAAAACAGAGCAAACAGAAUAUAGUCUGCGGGACUAUCGCCGUUCGCCGAUGUCUAUAGUCAGUCUGGAACCGAGAUCGAACUAAAGAUAACUCAUUCUCACAAGUAUGUACGACGUGUGACGAAACAAUACGAAUCUAUAGACGGAAGAAAAGUUAAGUCAAGGUGUUGGGAAAUGGACAGAUUUAUAACGAAGCGAAAACGUGACCCUCCUGAUAAUAAUAGCUCUCAAAAUAGUAACCAGCCUACUAAACCUGGUCAUUCAACUAAGAAGAAAUGUUUAAGUCCUAGUAUCCCUGGCCCUUCAUGUACUGAUGCACUAAUAAUAAUAAAACCUACCCAGCCACAAGAAUCAAAUCCUUCCAACGACUUCAGUUUGCUAGACGAAUCAAAUCUAUCUAACAAAAAAAAACCACAAGCCUUACUUGAUACUUGUAACGAAAAUGAAGAAAUCCAGAUAGCAACAAGUAAUGAAGAGCAUAAAAAAAAUAUUCCAACCAAAUCUAAAAAAGCAUCGGAUAAGACUGAAAAACAUUUAUAUGUUUUUAGCGAGAAAUGGUUAGAAAUUAAAGAACUUUCAGAGUGGCUAGUUUCAGACACAGUUAAAGGCACAAUCAGUGCAAAAUGCAAAUACUGUCAAACUACGUUACCCAACCACAAGCCGCACUUGAUACGACACUCUGAAACUGAUAAACACAAAUCAAUAAUGAAAGCCAUUAAAUCCACAUCAAAUAUUAAAGAAUCAUUAAAACCAUCAGAUGAAGAUCUCUCAGUAAAAAGAGGUGAGCUUAAAAUUGCUGCAAUGCUGGCUACAAAUAAUUUACCAUUCCUCUUAUCAGACACUCUAGUUAGCUUAAUAGCGGACAUUUGCCCCGAUUCGAAAAUUGCUCAGAAGAUGAAGAUGGGUCGUACGAAAGCAACAGCAGUUGUAACACAAAUUUUAGGGCCCAGUCUUCAAAGUACUUUGCAUGAUUAUUUAAAACAACCCGGUAAUUUCUUUUGCCUAAUAAUGGACGAAACAACUGAUGUUGGCACAAAAAAACAAUGUGCGAUGACAGUGAUAUAUUGUGACAAAGAAUUUAAAAUAAAAACAGAAUUCUUCGAUUUGCUGGAAAUGGCCUCAGGUACGGCUGAUGACUUGUAUAACGCAUUAAUACAGAGCGUUGAAACUAAAAAUAUCCCACUAGAAAACUUAGUGGGAUUUUCUUCAGACACGACGAACGUGAUGGUCGGCGAAUAUAAUUCUGUGUUCGCCAAAUUGAAAGAAAGACUUCCUAACAUAGUGUGUGUCCGCUGCUCUUGCCAUAUGAUUCAUUUGGCUGCCUCCAAAGCUUGUCUACAACUGCCAAAAUCAGUAGAAGAUAUGUUACGGAACAUUGGCUCCCAUUUCAGCCGCAGCCACAACCGACAACAGAAGCUUGCAGAAAUGCAACGCUUCUACCAAACACAAAUUCAUCAGAUUCUUUUGCCGGCAACAACCCGGUGGCUUUCUUUAAAGGCAUGUGUCGACCGAACGCUGGAACAGUAUCCUGCACUGGAAGCCUAUUUCAGACUUGAAAUAGUGGAAGAUCCGUCCAGAAUAACUGAAAGUAUCAUUUUCAGUUUGCGUAACCAGUUUACAAAAUUUUAUCUCGAGUUCAUGGCAUAUGUGCUAGACCUGCUAAAUGACUUCAAUAUUACUUUUCAGUCUGAAUCGCCAUUACUUCAUAAACUGAAACCUGCCGUAGAAGGGCUCAUCCGCACAAUUGCAAGUAACUUCAUUGAUUUACAUCACGUCAAAAACACGCCUCCUCUAGAGAUCGAACAUAAAAACCCAAGGUUGUACUUGCCUUUGGAAAAUUUGUACCUUGGUGUUUCUGUGGACUCAAGCCUCAAGGAGGUUCAAAAUGAUGUUAGAAAAGAGGACCUGGAAAGAUUCAAACUAGAUUGCCUGGCAUUUUAUGUUGAAGUAAUAGAACAAAUAAAACAAAGAUUUAUAUUUACAGACCCAAUAUAUGACAUAAUCCAAAUAGUCGAACCAAAAAUUAUAAAAUCGUUUGAUCCACAAAUGAUAACUUCAAUUUUAAACAGAUUUCCUUUUUAGCCCCACAUAUCUGAAUAAAAGUGCAUUAAUAAACGAAUGGCGGGAGUACUGUUUAUUAGAUCUGGCAAGUGUGGACGACAGUAUAUCGAUUCAAAUGAAUGCUGCUGAUUUUUGGACAAAAGUAUUUAAAUUAAAGGACAUAGCUGGUACAGAAAAAUUCAAAAAUUUGAAAAUCCUGAUAGGAUUUCUAUUAAUUCUGCCUUUUCUAAUGCCUCAGUGGAAAGAGUAUUUAGCAAACUAAAGCUGAUAAAGACUGAACAUCGGAAUCGUCUCAAUACCGAAACUAUUGCUGCAUUAAUGGCUAUUAGUUCAUCUAUACAGCAACAAGAUUGAAAUGAAAACUAUUAACUUGCAUUGAGCAUGGGUGCAGGCUAAGUAUUAAGUAUUUUGGAAUGAAGCAAAGCAUAUCUACAAACGGAAUGACACAUAUCCAAACUAUUGGAGCUUCAAGCAUGUAUUAGCAAGUUAUUUAUUUAUAAACUCGUGAAGUAUCCCGACCUAACCGUACCUUGAAGUUAAAAACCGUACCUUUUUAGAAAGCCAACCAUCCUUUUUUGGGAAAUCAUACUGGCAACACUGUAUCCGAGUUA